CUCAUCUCCAUUUAAAAUUCUUUUCGGAUCAUCCAUAAUAUCCAAACAAUUAUUUGCUUUUAGAUAUUCGCGCAGUUCCUUGAACCAGUUUUCGAUGGACUCCUUUGUGACGAUGGCUCUUCCUUUCGAUAUUCCCUCUGCAACACGUUGAGUUAUAUCCCUAUGUCUACCUAAAAAUAGUCGAUACCAAGUAUCUCCUGGCUUAUCAUUGACAAAUUUUGAAAUCCAAUGUCACAGGAAUUAUCCACCCACUCAGUGAUUUUACUUUCCCCAGCACGUGAUAACUCUGGUUCCGGCCCUCGUCGCUUUUCAUAUUGGGAAAUUUUGCCAUUUCUAAUGUCACUUGAGGUUGACCGCGGAAUAUCGUAGAGUAUAGCCGUUUUUCUUAAUGAUUGACCGUUUUCUAAUGCACGUAAUGCCUCUUUGAUAUUCUUUUUCAAUUUUAAUCCUUUUUCCUCAUCUUCACUUUCUAAUAUUAGAUGAUCAUUUUCUUUUUCACUCAUAAUGAAUAAUUAAAUUAAUUUUCACUUAGAAUACUACUUUGAUGUGAGCUUGGGGAGAGCUUUAUACUAACUACACUUUAACGGCUUAUAGAUUCUUUUUUAUAAUAAUUUCGAAUUUCCCGGUAACGGAAAAUUCAAAUUUUUCCAAAUAUAUAAUGUUCCAGAUGAUCGAUAAAGUAGAUACUGAUGAUACCAACGCUAUCAUCAUUUUUAUUGCACGGGCCACGGAUGCGAAAAUUAUUACAUGGAAAUGAUUCAUUGAAUAAUUAUUGAAUUGUAAUAUUGGAAAUCAUCAUUAAUAAUUCAUAUUAUUAAAAAAUUGUGUUUAAAAAACAGGUCUGAAGAAAUAACAAGACCUGUCACUAAUUUUGCUGUCAACUGUAAAUAAAAUCAUUUUUAUGGUCUUAUUGAUUCAGAACACCUUGCUAUUGUUCCAUGUGUUGAAGCAAUAGCAAAUACAGUGACACAUGCAAGGUUUGAAGGAACUGAUGCUUCUGAAGACGGAGUAGUUCUCAUGAGAAUACUUCAGGUAUUGAGGGCUCUAGUUUUGUCACAACCUGGAGAUAAUUUAUCUAACGAGAGCAUAUGUGAAAUAAUGCUUAGUUAUUUUAGAAUUAGUUUGGAAACUCGUCUCAGUGAAUUAAUAAGAAAGACAGCAAACAUUGUUUACGCGAUAUGGUUUAUCAUUUGUUUGUGAGGCUAUCUCAAUUUGCUGAUGAUACUAGAGGACUUCUUAGCAUGAGGAAAAUGAGCACAAACAGGAUGGAAACAAAAAAAAGUAAACCUAAGAAAAAUAAAAUUAGUGCAAAACCAAAGUCCAAUUUAAAACUUGAUGAUAUGGAUGACGCAUAAGCUCAGUUUCUAAGUCCAAUUGAAAAGGUUGAAAAAGUCAAAGUCAAUCAUAUAGCUACUACAUCUAUUUCACCUGCUGGCAACAUAGUUGAUAUGCAAGGUUCAUGAAAUCAUGGAACAUCAGAUAAAUCUGAUAUUGGUAAAGGUGAUUCUAAAACCAGUGCAUUGAGAUAUUAAUGGCAAGGGAAAUUCUGAAUCACAUAAUGUAAUAACUGAUCCUGAAAAGAAGAUUUCUAAGAAUGAAAAUUUGGAAAAUGGUUAAGAGAUUGAAAGUUUAAAUAAUGAUAAUAAAUUAUCUGACGAGCAAGUGGAUAAUAAAGUUGGACAAGUUUGAAAUCUUGAAAAUAAUCAAGGAAACGCUGAGAACGAAUGCAAUGAUGUUCAAUCACUAAGUGGCAGUAUUGAAGAUCUAUCUGUUGAUGAUGGUAUCAAUAACACUAAUUUGCCAAAUAAUAAACCUGAUGGUGAAUCUGUUAAGGAAUAUGUGAAUUUACAAGGAAUCAGAUUUACUACAGUUCAGCAGCAUACUCCUUAAUGUUCUCUAUGCAUCAGGGAACUAUUCAGAUUUUUAGUAUCUUUAUACAGUCCAAAGCAAAACCCAUAAGCAAAAAUCUAAAGUCAUGAUACAUUUAGGAUUGAGUCUAUUGCAAGUAGUUCCGGAAGUAGCUGCAGAUUCUGUUAUAUGUUAUAUUAAUACUACAUUUCAAAAUUAAAUGAAAAUUCAUUUAUAAAAAUUUCUAUUAUUGUUGAUUUUCAUGUUUAAAAUUGUUAUAAUUUUUUCUAGUUACUGGGUACAGACAGUUUGUCAAUUUUAGCUGCAGAUGUACGGGUUUCAUUUUUACUUUUUGAAUCUCAGCGUGAAACACCUCAAAUUUCAAUUUGAACAGUUCAUUGUAAAGUCGAUGGAUAUAAUUAAUUCUGAUUUAAAUCGAAUUACUUUUUGAACAAAGAGAACUUGCUUUAGAAGCUAUACUACGUUUGUGGAAGAUACCUGGUUUACCAGGAGAACUUUUUCUAAAUUAUGACUGUGCCUUAUUUUGUAUAAAUUUAUAUGAAGAACUGAAGAAAAUGCUAUCAAAGGUACUGUUCAAUAAUGUCUCGACAAUGGCUAGUAGUAUGUCUAGUUUAUAAUUUAUUGCUUUGGAUGCAAUAUUUACUUUAAUUGCUGGUAUGGAAGGAAGGUGCAAAGGAAAUACAGAAAUGUUAAAAACCUCUCGACAAACCGCUUUGCCUAAUCUGCCAGCCAAAGAUGUUUUAAUAGAUACGAAAACAUAGAAAAGAGUUUAAUUACAAAAGCUGCGAUUUUUAUUUGUCUUUUAAACAUGUAGACUGUUUUGUAAUUUUUUUUUAUUAAAUGUAGAAGAAAAAUAG
rnacentral:lncRNA from 1 species